AUCAUGAAGCGAAUAACAAUCCCCUUCUCGCGCUCCAAUUGAAGAAGCUUCUCCCCUUGAGGCAUCCAAGUCUCUCUGACUGAAUCACGCCUCUUUCUACUGCUAAAAGCUGUGUUAAUCCCAAUAACCAUGAACACUUUCUGCCGGGGUGGGCCCUCGUGAGACAGGGCAGACAAGGCAGCGGAACCAUCCAAGCUCAUUUCCUGAGAACUCCUAGAUGCUGCUAACUGCAUUUGAAGCAUUGCAAUUGACUUGUCUAGCGAUUGAAUGGCUUCAUGAGUUUUCAAAACUUCGUCCAUUACAUCUUUAUCAUGUGAAAGUUUCUUCUGAGUUGUUGAAUCUUCGGAUACAACUUGCAACUCUUGUUCACGUCGACGCUGAGCCAUAAGCUGACCGUUGGAUUCAAGUGGGUCCCACGUCCUGUUAGAGAAGAGAAUUCCAAGAGCGAAGCAAAAUACACAGAGGAUCGGAAUCCACUUGACAGAGACUUUGGCAGUGCCUCGGCUCUUCAUUGGUGCAAAUCUAUGGAAAGAGAGAUAUAGAGAGGGGAAAGGGCGUUGAGGCAGCUGGAGCCUGAAAAUGGAAAUGAAAUCGGUGCUUGAAGUUU
rnacentral:misc_RNA from 1 species